AUUGAACGCUGGCGGCAGGCCUAACACAUGCAAGUCGAACGAGUGGCGGACGGGUGAGUAAUGUCUGGGAAACUGCCUGAUGGAGGGGGAUAACUACUGGAAACGGUAGCUAAUACCGCAUACCAUCGGAUGUGCCCAGCUGGGAUUCGCUAGUAGGUGGGGUAACGGCUCACCUAGGCGACGAUCCCUAGCUGGUCUGAGAGGAUGACCAGCCACACUGGAACGGAGACAGGGGCCAGGCGCCUACGAGAGGCAGCAGUGGGGAAUAGUGCACAAUGGGCGGAAGCCUGAUGCAGCCAUGCCGCGUGUAUGAAGAAGGCCUUCGGGUUGUAAAGUACUUUCAGCGGGGAGGCGUUACCCGCAGAAGAAGCACCGGCUAACUCCGUGACAGCAGCCGCGGUAAUUC
rnacentral:rRNA from 1 species